CUGUUCAUCACAUUCGCACACACCCCGAAUUGCUAUUUCCGCCGAUCAGAACGUUCGAGCCUUCGUUGCAGCUGGUUGUAAGAAGCUGAUCGUCGACCACCUUAUCGUGCAAGAAAGGCACUGAUGUUCCCACCAUAAGGAACGAGCACGCUACAAUAAGAUCAUUUUAUUCCACGAUAACCGGCGAGAAGAUCAGCGGUACCUGUGAGAGCAACGUGUGGCUGGGAUGAGCAAGCCUGCUCCGUAUCUGCAAAAAGCAUCAUCUCCACCGGCUCGGUCGAUCUACCAUCUCCGGUGCAGCAGCACGCGGUAGAGAAUUAUCAUUACACGGGGCUGGAUAGUCUUGAGCAAACGCAAGCAACGCACGAGGUUGGAUCCGAGGGGACGCCGGACAAUUCACGGCAAAUAUCCUGAAAACCGGGAAGCAGUAGUGACCGGAAGACGAUUUUCCGGAUAAAUCCACAAGAGGCCAGUGUUGUCCGACGGGAGACAGUUCGGAACAUUCGAGGUCCACUAUACGAUAGUUACCCCACGGGGGCACUCAGGAGCUCACGAGCCAACUCCUCUGUCGACGCCACCGCAGUGUAGAGCGGGCCAUCACACUAACACCCGUACGCAAGCGAACGAACGAAGCCUUUCCACAACAGGAGGGCUUCGUUUGCAGGGGUCGAGUUGCACGUCGCAUCGAGUAAGAUCUGGUGUAAGCAGGAGAGCCAACGAGAGACGCUCGCCACUCGGAGCGACGUAGGAAGCCGUCGGGGAAAACAUCACCGCAAAUCGUUGGUUCAGUGACGACAGUGAUCAAGCGAGGUUUAAGCUACGCGAGUGUGCAUCGGUGCAUCGGACAAUGCUGUUCCCGUAGCGGUGUGUGUGCGCUUGUGAGUAAUUGCGAACCGUGACGUCGUGUUGUGGACGGCAGCCGCGACGGUGAGCGCCAACGACGUCGCCGGCAACGAGAGAUGUGAGCAGCACACUAGGGUAGCAUGUUACAGAACGGGCCCGUGAGUAAACAACGAUUUUGUAUUUAUGAUAAGAAAACGAAACUGAGUCAGGAGGCACAUUAGGGAAGCAGUUUAGGCCAGACGAUGCUGGAACGUAUGUUGGGAAAAAUAAAUGUAGCAUAAGCAUGAAA